GACGAACGCUGGCGGCGUGCUUAACACAUGCAAGUCGAACGGGCCUGUCUUCUUUUUUGGGGGGUGGGUUGAGUGGCGAACGGGUGAGUAUCACGUGAGUAACCUGCCCUUCGGUCCUGGAUAACCGCUUGAAAGGGCGGCUAAUACGGGGUGGUCCGGUUGGUCCGCAUGGGCUGGUCGGGAUAGAUUCACUGUUUUUGGUGUUUCGGCGGGGGAUGGGCUCGCGGCCUAUCAGCUUGUUGGUGGGGUGAUGGCCUACCAAGGCGGUGACGGGUAGCCGGGCUGAGAGGGUGGGCGGCCACACUGGGACUGAGGUACGGCCCAGACUGCUGCGGGAGGCAGCAGUGGGGGGUAUUGCACAAUGGGCGGAAGCCUGAUGCAGCGACGUCGCGUGAGGGGGGGAGGCCUUCGGGUUGUGAACCUCUGUGUCCGGUGGUGAAGGCCCUGUCCGUGUGGUGGGGUUGACGGUAGCCGGGGAUGAAGCGCCGGCUAACUACGUG
rnacentral:rRNA from 1 species